rnacentral:rRNA from 1 species
UAAAGAAUUUCGGUAUGGGAUGGGGAUGCGUUCCAUUAGUUAGUUGGCGGGGUAACGGCCCACCAAGACAACGAUGGAUAGGGGUUCUGAGAGGAAGGUCCCCCACAUUGGAACUGAGACACGGUCCAAACUCCUACGGGAGGCAGCAGUGAGGAAUAUUGGUCAAUGGACGAGAGUCUGAACCAGCCAAGUAGCGUGAAGGAUGACUGCCCUACGGGUUGUAAACUUCUUUUAUAUGGGAAUAAAAUGUUCCACGUGUGGGAUUUUGUAUGUACCAUAUGAAUAAGGAUCGGCUAACUCCGUGCCAGCAGCCGCGGUAAUACGGAGGAUCCGAACGUUAUCCGGAUUUAUUGGGUUUAAAGGGAGCGUAGGUGGAUUGUUAAGUCAGUUGUGAAAGUUUGCGGCUCAACCGUAAAAUUGCAGUUGAAACUGGCAGUCUUGAGUACAGUAGAGGUGGGCGGAAUUCGUGGUGUAGCGGUGAAAUGCUUAGAUAUCACGAAGAACUCCGAUUGCGAAGGCAGCUCACUGGACUGCAACUGACACUGAGGCUCGAAAGUGUGGGUAUCAAACAGGAUUAGAUACCCUGGUAGUCCACACAGUAAACGAUGAAUACUCGCUGUUUGCGAUAUACUGCAA